rnacentral:rRNA from 1 species
UACGGAGGGUGCAAACGUUGUUCGGAAUUACUGGGCGUAAAGGGUUCGUAGGUGGCCAACUAAGUCAGACGUGAAAUCCCUCAGCUUAACUGGGGAACUGCGUCUGAGACUGGAUGGCUUGAGUGCAGGAGAGGAACGCGGAAUUCCAGGUGUAGCGGUGAAAUGCGUAGAUAUCUGGAGGAACACCGGUGGCGAAGGCGGCGUUCUGGACUGCAACUGACACUGAAAAACGAAAGCCAGGGGAGCAAACGGG